rnacentral:rRNA from 1 species
CAUCACCUACGGGGCGCAGCAGUGAGGAAUAUUGGUCAAUGGGCGGGAGCCUGAACCAGCCAAGUCGCGUGAGGGAAGACGGUCCUAUGGAUUGUAAACCUCUUUAGGCGGGGAGCAAUGCCGGGCACGCGUGCCCGGAGGGAGAGUACCCGCAGAAUAAGCAUCGGCUAACUCCGUGCCAGCAGCCGCGGUAAUACGGAGGAUGCGAGCGUUAUCCGGUGUUAUUGGGGUUAAAGGGUGCGUA